GCCGCCGUAGCUCAGCGGGCAGAGCGCCGGCCUCGUAACGGCCCUGGCCUCGCUCCGAGGUCGCGAGAGAGCCGGUGGUCCCGGGUUCAAGUCCCGGCGGCGGCU
rnacentral:tRNA from 1 species